UACGGAGGGGGCUAGCGUUGUUCGGAAUUACUGGGCGUAAAGCGCACGUAGGCGGCUUUGUAAGUUAGAGGUGAAAGCCCGGGACUCAACUCCGGAAUUGCCUUUAAGACUGCAUCGCUAGAAUUGUGGAGAGGUAAGUGGAAUUCCGAGUGUAGAGGUGAAAUUCGUAGAUAUUCGGAAGAACACCAGGGGCGAAGGCGACUUACUGGACACAUAUUGACGCUGAGGUGCGAAAGCGUGGGGAGCAAACAGG
rnacentral:rRNA from 1 species